CGGGACGGGUGAGUAAUGUCUGGGAAACUGCCUGAUGGAGGGGGAUAACUACUGGAAACGGUAGCUAAUACCGCAUAACGUCGCAAGACCAAAGAGGGGGACCUUCGGGCCUCUUGCCAUCGGAUGUGCCCAGAUGGGACUAGCUAGUAGGUGGGGUAACGGCUCACCUAGGCGACGAUCCCUAGCUGGUCUGAGAGGAUGACCAGCCACACUGGAACUGAGACACGGUCCAG
rnacentral:rRNA from 1 species